UCGCCCGCCGCGCACACUUGACUAUGGUUACCGUACCUGGUGGCCGAACUGGUUGCAUGGGAAGGCGAGCACGGCGAACCCUCGAGGUCCGAAGCGCUGCUGCAACUCGCGAAACUGGGUGAAGUCCCGGCUCGUGGUGCCUCAGAGGGAAGCCACAUUGGAGACAAGCAGCACCCUCCCCAGCAGCGAGCCCAGAUCGACGGGCUCCUUAGCCCCUAGCGGCCGCACAAGUAGCCCCGCUAGACCAGCAGCCGGUCUUCCAGCCAUUUCACGAGCGGACAAGGAUGUUGCAGAAUAAGUGCGGAAGGAAGGGUCCACUUUCGCUCUUUUGAGAAGGUUGAGCAACUCCGCCCACCAAGCCAUUGCACUUUCUGUUCUGGGACUGGGUGCGGCGGAUGGGGCAGAAGGCUCCGCCCAGUCGCCUUACCCUUGUUUGAAGCGGAUGGAUCUGCCCUACCCUAUCCCGAUCGCAUCCUGCUGCGAGAUUUCGAGGCAUGCGCAAUAACUCGUGAAUGCAAACGACUUCAAAGCCUAUGAGUAAAUUUUAAUUGAAUUAUUUCUAGGCUUGUAGUCGGCGAUGAUUGCUUGAUGGGCGGCUUUCUCUUUCAUGUGGUUAAAUUUAAUCAUUCCGUGAUUAAGGCUCAAACUCCACCUUACGCGCUGCCACUUUUGUUAUGAGGAAACGCAGCCCUUGUUGCUGGUGGGGAGAGGAGUUCCAACGGUAGACAGGCAGCGUGUCCUGCCUCUUAGGAUGCUGAAGUUGAUGAUGACUAAUGUGUGUGAUUUGGGAUGGCUCUAAGCUCACGGUGCGGCGGCCACCCCAAGUUCCUUAUGUGAUUGUAAUGGUCGUCACGUAUUUAUGAGCGUUGUGCAAACAACGUUUUCGACGGGAGAAAAUUAUUUUGGACCUCGAAGGAGACAGUUUCCCGGGCAUGGCGACGUAUGACAGGAAUUUUCCAGAGGUGGCAUUGGUGGAAUCUUUCAAGAAGUUGGGAGCGACAUUUAUAGAUGGUCCAUGUUUCACAGGCGAACAGUAAGCAUCUGGAAGGGAUUCACUCGGCCUGCAACCUCCAUCUUGGAAUAAAGACUACAAGCUGACAUCACUCCAAACUGAUGAUUUCUAUGUGGAUGUACUUUCCCCAACAUACACUGGACUUGAGCUUUCUUCCAUGAAGAACAAGGAAGACUGGUCAGACAACUUCUUCAUGCACCUGUGUAUACUACAAUCAAAGACUUCUACAUGUGCAUGAGAUAAAGCAUUGUAAGCAACAACUAUCUGCAACUUGCUUUUGUCCCACUAUGAAUGUUCAUUUGCUAUAUGCUGUUCUUGACAAAGCCUUAUCAACCACAUGCACAUGUAGAAAGAAGUCUGUUCACCUGGAUUAGCUCUCUAAUUCUUGGUAGAAUAAAAUGUUGAACAGAUCGCUAGCAUUGAUUUUUCUGCUUGGGAAUGUAGUCAAAAGGUGCCUACCAGGCUUCAAAAACAAAAAGCUCUGAAUAACAGCUCUUAAGACAGCUCUGUCCACAUCUGUGGCUUUGUCGUUGUAUAAAUAUAUGUUCAGACUACAUGUGGCUUGUAAGUAAUGCAACAUAUUGCCUAUCUUCAGAAGUCCAUACAUCAGCUGCACUUAUUCUUGUUAGUAAAUCCCAUAAAAUACAUCUUGGCACAUUACUGUGGUAAUCUUGCCCUCUCUCCCUUCACCAGGUUCCUUUUAACUGGAGUGCCCAGCAUCAGUUACCUCACAGGCAGCCUUGAUUUGAGCAGUUCACUGGAAGCAGCUGCUGUGUUAACUCUUCAGUACCAUAUUAUACUUUAAUACUUCAAGCUAUUAAUGAGCAAGACAUUCACUAAGAGACAGAAACAUCUCAAUUGGCGAUAUAAGUAAGCCAUGGGGAAGGGAGGCUUUCUAAAACCUUUCAGCUAUUAAUGAUUGUAGCCUAAAAGUCCGACAGUCCAGCUGAUGUACUGUCCUCUGUACUGAUAGGAUGUAUAGGACAAUACAAUUUAAAGUAGGCAGCCCAGGUACCCGACAUCUUUGUCUUGCAGCAUUAAAAUUCACCUUCCUAAUUACCAAGACUUCUAAAUGGUACAGUACUUGUUCACAAUUGUGCAUAAGCCCAGGAAACAAACUUGUAGCAAACUGAGUAACAGCGUCUGCUACAUGAUCAACAUUUUGCAUAGUGUACAUUAAUAUAAUCAUUUUCCAGACUUUGCUGUGCAGUUUUCUUCUCUUGUGCAUCCAUGUUUUAAUAUGGCAAUACAAGCAUGGAUCCUUCUUGAGGGAAAGACACUGAUCUGCUUUCCAUCACCCCACCUCCUUUACACCGGCUUAGGCAGCUUACUAGGAGCACUGCUAUUAAGUUGCCAGCACUCACCCUAUUUCUUUUGCCAAGAGCUCAGCCACUGGAUAUUAACAGGCAAGUUAACCAUCUUCAUUUUUCAUAGUAUGGUUUUUUCACUCUACAGACAGUGUUGUUGGUAAUUAUACUCACAUAGAUCAGGGUUAGUUUUCUUUUAAAAUUCACAUUAUUCCACUUACCCCACUCUUAAGACAAAGUUAUAUUUUAAAAUUCCACACACCGAAGAACACAAACACAAGAGUACAGGGAGCUUAGAAAACUGCCUUUAUUCUAUUAGUUGUUGGAAACAGGAAAUACAGAAGAGAGUUUAGUUUGCUGCAGAACAGCAAGAUGUUCACAGGAUGGGAAUUUGGCCAGCAGAUAAACAAGAACCUGCAUUUUCAGCUUGGAGCCGGAUCCAGCAGGGAUUAACUUAAAGCUUCUGAAACAUUCAGUUACCUUGAGUGUAAAACAACUGCUUUUCCCUUGCUCCUGAAGGAGGUAUUAAGAUGAGCUUUCUGGGCAUGUUUAAGUCAUACAAAUGGGUUGGACAAUUACAAAUGGGGAAAGGGCAUCAUUCUCCAUUUGACUUUAUUCGUAAGUACACUUUUAAAAAACCCAGAACACCUUACACAGAAGUUACAAGCAACAGUAUUAGGAAAUCCAAUUAUACAAAAAAUACUACAUCUAGGCUGGGGUAUAUAGAUUUAUUUUUGGUAACAUACAUUUAAGUGGCACUAAUUACACAGUAACUAUAAGGUAACUAACAUGAAACCACAGAACUGUCACUUUUCAUAGCUGGAUGGGACUGAUCAUUUCAGGGUAAUCACAUUUUCUAACCAUCUUACACUUCAGAGUAUUUGAGUAUAGAAUCGGAGAAAAAAAUCAAAUGUGAAAACACUGAAGUUAUUCGGGACUCAUCCACAGCCAUGUCUGUUGUACCUGAAUAGGCUAGAACAUGUUAGUUAUGAAGUAGUUACAGCCCAAUUCUCAGUGUUACCAGCCCCCCCCCCCGCCGCCAUUUCUAAAAAAGCAAGAAGUUAGAGAAUUGUCUUGAAUUAGCGCCUGGCAUAUCCUGCAAGUGCAGAGAAAGUUUUGUUAAAGGAAUGUUGAAGUUAACCCUUGUGUGCACAGAUGUAUUUGAUGCAGACCGUUAUAAAAAAAAUCAUGGUUGGCUUCUAAAUACUGGUAGCAAGACUCGAUUUUAAAUCUCUUAAGUAAAUUAUAGAUAAAUGAAAAAGGCUGGUAAUCAUACACUAAGAUUAAUAAACAGCACUUCAAAAAUUCAUCAAGUGCAGGGCGCUGCUUCAGCCAUCUUCCCCUGGCCAUGCUUUACAAGAGAAGGCACCCAGAUUUUUUCUUGCCACGUCGGGCUUGUAAAGCAGCUCUAGUGGCCAUUUCAAAAACUUCCCUCACACCGUCUUUGGUCUUUGCACUGCACUCCAUGUAUCCAAAAGCACCAAUGCGGUUUGCCAUAUCCCUGCCCUCUUCAGGUUUCACUGGUUCCUGUAUAAACACGAGAACAAUUGUUUAUUAAUAUGGCUGAAAAGGAAAUCAGAUACAACUGAAUUGAAAAAGCUUCUGACAAUACUUUUCUAGCAAAGUGAGGCCUUCUAAAAUGGAGUUGUACACUUAAAAAAUGGUAUAGUACCAGUAGGUUUAAUACUGCAUCUGUCAGUCUGACAUUACCAGACAAUUUAUACCCCCAACCCAGGACUGGCCCUCUUGGCAUUAGAGUUAUCAGAGGAUUACAGAUUAGUGCACAGCGAUUUGGCAGUACUCUUACUUGCAGCUGCACAUAUGGAGAUAACCAGUUGCUGGAAAACAUCAGAAUUUACAGUUAGGGGCUGGAUAGAUAAGAUAUGGGAAAUGGUGCUUUUGGAAAGGCUGAUAUACCAAGCAGAGUACUAAGGGGACAUGCUAAAAGGGACACAUUUGAAUUAACUGAUGCAGACAAGAGAUAAUGACACACAGCAUUGUUUGCAUUGAGUGAAUUAUUUAAUUAUUGUCUGGUAUACUCUACCUAUUUCAGGUUAUGUUUGUGUAUGGAAAGUCUCAAUAAAAAUAAUUUAUUAAAAAUAGUGCGGCAGUCAACACAAGAAAACCAUAAUCAAGAAUUUGAAUCUUAAAACCUACAUUCUCUUCCCUAUGGUUUUACUUCUUCCUUAAAGAGAAAAAUAAUAACAUCCUUUGUUGCAUUAUUCCUUCAUAUGCACAACAUAAAAAGGGAGGGGGGACUAGUCACUGUCCCAUCUACUGCUCAAGCUGUGGUUGUUAUAUAAGAUAGUGACAUAUUGCAACACACAUCUUAGUUAUUUAAAUAAACUGUUAAGAAUUUCGCCAGGGACUUGACCGAGGCGCUGCCUUGUCCAGCUUCUUGCCUUUCUGCAGUGUCCAUCUGGCUGCUUUUUGGGUGAGCCUACGAGCAAUAGCCUUCCCCCACUGUGGGUUCUCUCCAGCCACUGGUGCCCAGAGUUAGUCCGCCUCUGAACAUGGAGUCUUCAUAUAACAGCAGCAGCCAUCAGCAGAGACUCUUAACAUCAAUGCCAGAGUGACAAAAACUGUUUUCUUACGCUUUUGCACUAGAAUGUUAUGUUAUUGAAAUGUUAUUAAUUUGAUAUGUUUUAAUUGAUAGCUUGUUUUAUGAUGACUUUAAAUAUGAUACUGUUUAGGUAAUCAACUGGAGUUAGUUAUUGUUGGGUUGUUAUGUUUUGAAAUGAUUUGAAACUAUUGUUAUGUUUUUGAAUUGACUGCUAUUGAUGUUGUCAUUUGCAUUUUUGUAAGCCACUGAGCAUAUUUGUAUGGAAAAGUGGCAUAUAAAUUCAAGUAAUAAAUAAAA